rnacentral:misc_RNA from 1 species
GAAGGAUUGUAGAGCGACUUGCUAGAAAUGGCGACAAAUUCUUUUAUGUCCAACACUUAAUGUCAAAAGAAAAAAUGCUUCAAUUCAAUGGCAGUCCAACUCUAACAUUCCACAGCUAAACUUCCGAAAAAAAUAAAUCAAGAUACAAAAAGGAAACCUUCAUUUUCCUUUUGAGUAUACCAUAAUUAAGCAGCAGCGCCUACGCAAGUAGUUACUGGAGCAGCACUAUUUUGUUUUGCAGCACUAUAUUUCUUGGUGAUGAAUCUGAAAAAAUCCCUCCAUAACAGCUCGUACAUCAGCCAGUUCAGCCCAUUGCCACUACCACCAUCUUUCUUGGCAGAGGCAGCAGAAAUCGUUCUUGACGUGGACUUUUUUAAUUCAUCAAACAUGGAACGGGGUGAGAGACAUCCCAUAGCUAACCAAGGCGAUAUUUUGCAAGAAAAGUUUGC